GAACUCCGUACACGGGUGGAACAGCCGAAAGGCAUCCAACGCUUGCUGUUUAUGCGUGGUUAGCCCUAAAUACGGGGUUCUU
rnacentral:sRNA from 12 species